UAUGUCUUACUUAGUCAGGACUUUAAGCAGUAAAUAUCAUUUUAAAAAUGAAUUGAGUCAGUAAAGUCGGGAUGCUGAUUAUGCUAAGAAACACUGGAUAUUGGUCUAUAAUAGACUAUUGAAUGGGGAAACCAGCAUGUACUAUUUGCACAUGGAUAACUAUUCUUCGUGACGAUAUCCGGGACCGGAGGUCGGUUUUUAAAACGCUUGAAUGAUUCAGAUGAAUGAUGCAAAUUGAAGACGCCGGUAGCCAACUGACAACAACUUGAACAAGUACUUGUUUCUGUUUAUUUAACGAGACAAACACAAUCAAGGAGCUAUGAACGCAUAGAAACUCGAGGAAAUAAAACAGCAGUACAUUGUAUUACAACAAAUGGUCAGAGGAGUUGACUGAUAAUGGACUGGAGUAACCUAGGGUCCAAUGACUCUGAAAAUGCAUGACAGUACUGGCAUGUGUACAUGUAUGUCGACAGCCAAUUCUAAGUAACCUUAAACGUAUACAUUGUAUAUACAAAAGACCUGCAAUAAUGAAUUAACUCCUCAGAUGUCAGUGGAAUGGAAGUAAUACACAUCAUAUGUUUCAAUGAAAUUAAUAUGAUUAAUGAUGGGAUAAGACGUAGAGGAGAUCCUAUAUCUACAA